CAAUCAACCCAGAGCACCACCAGGAUUUAUAGAGGGACUUUGUUAAUCACCCAAUUGCUACAAGAGCCUUGUUCUCUUCCUAUCUAGGCACUCUAAGCUAGGAUAUGGGAAAGCUUUGGGUCUCCAAUGUUGAUGAUCUACAGCUCCCAUCAAGCUGAUGUUGGUAGGAGCUGAUGGGAGUUGAACAACAUCUGGAGGACCACAGUUUCCCCAUUCCUAUCCUUCCAUAAUGGACCAAUAUGCAACCUGCCUCUUCAGUUAUCUAAAUUUCAGUGGAUAAAUGAUAAAGCAGCCUUUGCUUAGAUACACCUGGAUCUGGAUAUAUCUGGAAGGUAAGAUAGAAAGUAGAUGCUAUAUAGCAUAAAAAAUUAUGUUGAUGUGGGUGCAAGCUUUUAAUAGUCACAAAGCUCCUUGCUAAAGCUGGGUAACAGCUAACAGUUCACUGAUCUACAAGUGCAAAUAUUUGAGUUAUUUGAAUUAUUUCACUGUGUCUGUUGGUAAUUUACACAUGUUCUGAUAAUUCUGAUUAUUGAUGGCAUUGCAUUUCAGAGGAUAACUAUAUCUUGCAGCUAUCACUUAGAGGUGUUGGUGAUUAAAUGGUAUAUAAAACCUGUUAAAUAAAAUAAUAAAUACCUUGCGUCACUUGACCAACCCAGUUUAUAACCACAGAUUAUUUUGACAUGUUUGUUCCAUCAAUAAAUUCAUGUGGUUUCACCCUGACAUAAUUCGGAAUCAUCCAAAAGACAAAGUUAUUUUGUUUCUCAUGUUCUUUAGUUGUGGGAGCAUGGUUGCAUUUCCUGACUGAUCCAGGGUGAGCGGGGUCACUAAAAUUCUGGAGCCAUGAUUGCCUGGUUGAUAUUUUGUAAAGCAUUUAAGUUGGUCUCAGGCUGCCUUAUUAGGAAGAAGGAUGAUAUCAUUUGUAUAGCCUUUAUGCCAAAAAUCGUAAUACACUUGCAAUAUCAGAAAGGCAGCAAUCUUUGCAUUAUGGGUUUCUAUCCACCGAGUGGCUCCCUCAGCCAUUUUAUAAAGGGGUGCCUUAUUUCCAGAAAAAGCAGGCAGGUUAAUCUAAGCACUCAAAUUCAAAACAGUUCACCUUUGUCCUUGUUUUUCUUAUAUCAUGGGAAUAAUUUAAGCGAGACUUGGAGGAACAAAUACCUGAAUAGGACUAUUGGGAGACUUGAAUCCAGGACGAGAUCCCUUUAAUUCAGAUGGGGGCAAAUACUAGAAUAACAUGAGGGGAGAGUAAUAUUGAUUGCACAAAUUGUUCUUCUUCCCCUUCAACAGAUUAAAAGGAUGUUGACAUUAGAGAGGAGAAAUGAAACCACCAUUACAGAAUUUGUCCUUCAUGGCUUUGGAGAACUCCAGGAGUUACAUAUUCUUCUCUUUGUGCUGUUUCUAAUCAUCUACAUCAUGACGAUGGCUGGGAACCUGAUCAUUGUCACAUUGGUUGUGACUGAUCAGCACCUCCACACCCCCAUGUACUUCUUCCUGGGCAACUUGUCUUGCUUGGAGACCUGCUAUAGCUCGACCAUCCUCCCCAGAAUUCUGGCCAGUUUAUUAAGCAAAAACCCAGGUGUAUCCGUUAAUGGCUGCAUUGUGCAAUUAUGGGCAUUUGUUUUCUUAGCAGUAACUGAGUGCUAUCUCCUGGCAGCAAUGUCUUAUGACCGUUACAUAGCAAUAUGCCGCCCCUUGCAUUAUUCUGUCCUUAUGAAUUUCAAGGUUUGUCUCCAGCUGGUAGCUGGGUCUUGGAUUGGCAGUUUUGUCAUAGACACAAUAUUGUUAGGUUUUAUACUACAGGUAACCUUCUGUGGCCACAAUGUGAUUGAGCAUUUCUUUUGUGAUUUCAUUCCGAUGAUGAACCUGGCCUGCAGUGAUGCAAGUCAGGUGAAACUGGUAUCGGCUGUUCUGACUUCUAUCUCUACCCUGCCACCAUUCGUUCUGACUAUAGCAUCAUACGUAUGCAUCAUCACUGCCAUUCUUGGCAUCCCAUCCACCACAGGAAGGCAAAAGGCUUUCUCCACUUGCUCUUCCCAUCUCAUUGUGGUGACCAUUUUCUAUGGCUCUCUCACCAUUGUGUAUCUUUUACAAGACAACAAUCAACUGAGAACACUCAAUAAGGUAUUCUCUAUCUUUUAUACCAUCUUGACACCUCUGCUUAAUCCCCUUAUAUACAGCCUGAGGAACAAAGAGGUGAAGGAGGCCUUAAGGAGAACAGCCAACAAAUGUGCUAACUGUAUAAGAGUUCAUUGAAUUUUGUUUUCUUUUUCUCUCCCCCCCCCCCCGAUUCUAACAAAAAUAUUCUCCCAUUUACUCCAAUGUAAAUCUGAAACACUAAAGUCAACGGGGUUUUACUCCAGAUUUAGAAACAGCAGCGAUUAAUGAUCUUCCUAACAUGUAGCCUUGGAAGCAGCGAGCAUUCAGGUAGCACUUUUCAAAUCCAUAUGCUAAUUCCUAUCAAGUUGGUUCUGGAGCUGUGCUAUAUUUGGUCAUUUAUUUUAAGUAUAUAUAUAUAUAUAUAUAUAUGCUGCCAACCUUAAGAAAAAAAAAUAAUGGUGGUAAACAGCAACACAUCAAAAAUAAACUUACAACCAAAUGCAACCAAAUGCAAAAUGCCAUGGAGACUCAUCACCACUGCCACUUCUUCCUCCAGCACCAUUGUGUCACAUGAAGUUACAGGCUACUUUACAAACCACCUCAUGCAUUGUGUGUUGUUGUCUGUAAAGAAUCCCCAACAUUCAAGAUCCUGACUGUGUGUAUAUGCACCACAUGACUGGGGCACCUGAUUGUGCAUUUCUCCUGAUUGUGCAGUGCAUCUUCCUUUGAGCAGGAGCUUAGACAUUGGGGUUUCUUUUCAUGCAACCCUGUGCAACAUGUGUUUGUUGAAGGAAGAAGAUGUCACUGGAGAGACACUGCCUGGCUGUGAGUGCUGAAGAGCCCAGACUCACUGGAAUAACUCUGGGGUUGGGUCAAAUGUCAAAAAUGUUUUUAAAUAGUUUUUAAUUUGUGCUGUUUUAAAUUUCGGUUUUAUGGUUUGCUUUUUGCUUUUUGGGGGCGGGAUUAACAUUUAGUUGCAGUUGGGUAUUAGUUUAAUUUUUAGUAGAACUGUGAAUUUUUUGUUUUGUUUUUUGAUUAGUUUCUAUUGUUUUAUAUAGUUUGUAUUCUGUUCUUAAGGGGGGAGAGUCAGGGCUGCCUGGGAGUAGGCCCCAGCCAACAGUGAUCUCAGUGAUCACGGGUAGGAGGAGGAGUUAUGCUAAGACCAGACCAUGUCAUUACUGAGGAGGCAGGUUUUGUUGUUGUUUGAAGACUAUCCCUGCCUUCGAGUCUGGUAUUGACCGGAUGGAAAUCCAAGAAGGGACCUCUUUUAAAAAAACUCUGUGAGUUCAAUCAAAUUCUUUAUUUGAUCAUCUCUUGCACCUCUUAUUAAAUCCCCUCAUUGCUGUCGACUUGGGUAUCAUUUUUUGCCACCCUUCCCUUGUCACUUGUAAAAUCCAUAGUAAAACAUACUUCUGGAAGUGUUACGCAAGGAGAGAGUCACAUAUUGUAUUAAUGAAAAUUCCUCUCCAUCAUUCUUCCCACUUUGUAUAGAAACUAGCUACAAAGUUUGGAAGGCCAGAGGUAACCUAGAGGGAAACCAAGAACACCUGCUAGUCUCCACCUCCCAUGUAGAUAACAGGAAGAAGAUCCAUGGUAAAAUAUCCAUGUCUCAUAGAUUUACAAUAUCUUCAUGGCUCCCCAUGGCAUUUCAAAAGCCCUAAAUGCCUAAUAUCUUUCAGGAAGACAGGGCAUUUAGCCUUCUAAAAAAACCAAUUGACCUCAGUUUGGGGAGAAUCGUUGGCAUAAAAUCCACACUGAGGUUUUAAGACUCAUUGCUUCUCACACUUUCUUUCCCUUGCAAGUACUCUGCACUCAAUUCUAAGAAGAAACGAACUUGUAGAACACAUCUUAUCUCGGCUAAUAUUCCUUUUCCAAUCUAGAUGGUCCUUCUGUGAACUCCUCUUUCUUUACUUUUACCCUGUUAGGAUUUUGGGGUGUUUUGGUAUGGUUUUAGUAUGGCAGUUUGAUCAAACUGCGGGAGGCAGUGGAGGACAGAAGUGCCUGGCGUGCUCUGGUCCACGGGGUCACGAAGAGUCGGACACGACUAAACGACUAAACAACAACAACAAGUAUGGCUUCAGGGAGACAUUUCAGAAUUGAGGGGAAUCUAUCAUUGUACAUGUGUAAUAUUGUGAAAAGCUUGAAAACAGACCUUUGUGUUAUAAUAUGAAUACUUAUAAAUUAACAAAUAACUAAAAAUAGGAAUCAAGUGAUGUAUAUUCCAAUGUAUAUUGUCACUCAUUCCGUAUCACAUGAAAUUGCAUGUGACAUGGUGAUUAUUGCUUGAACUGUUUAUCAUUUGGUACACUAUAGAAUGUUUUUACACGUAAAAAUACAAACACAUACCACACAUUCCCAUGAGUCUUUUCUUCUGAGUUUGAUUACACUCCUGGGAGUAAUGGAAGUAAAUAUGGAUAAAAUCCAGUGCAGCAUCUCAGUAUAGAGAGCAGUAAGAGAAAUUGCCUCCCAAACAGCUAUGGGGAGAGAAUGGUGUGAUGCAUUGAAAAGGCAAAUCACAUUGGCUGCCCAGAAAAACAACACAGAUCACAACCAGGCAUGAAAACGAAGCAUGUAAACACUUGCAUGAAAUCACCCAAGAUCUGCCCACAAACAGCUUGGUAAGUCUAUUUGAUUAGAUGACUUUUCAAUUAUUUUAUUCAUGACCUCUUGGAUAAACUUUGAAGUGUACACAGUUCAGGAAGAUCUCGAAACCAGAGUUUUACAAUGCAAAAGCCCAUGCUCAGUUUGUCACAGCCAGGGUUAAUGGCUAGGAAUAGCAGACAUUUCACAUAUUUUAUUACUGUAAAUUCCUUGGGGGUCUCUUUUAUUGUGAGAAGUGAUUUAUGAAUUCAGUGAACGUAAUGAAACAUCUAGAAGCAGAACCUUGAAGGCAUAACAUACCUACUGGAUAAAAAGCAAAUUUUAUCACAAGUUAAAUAUAUUUAUGGGCUUCCUAGUAAAAAAUCUGCAAAGGUCAGAUGUGCAGAAUAGCCACCAUGUCACCAAUAAUUAUAUAUUUUCAUUCAUUAAAGAGAGUAUUCUGGCCUGCACAUCCUCAUUCCACAUAGAAGAGGCCAGGUCAGCCUGUGUCGGUCUUAGCAAAUGCAUACUGGAAAUGUGACAUGGACAAAAACUGUUAAAUCUCUAUCACAUGAAAUUCCAUGUAACAUGGAGAUAACUAAUUGUGCCUCCUUUCUUAAAUAAAGGUUUAUAAAGAUAAAUAUUUAAAUAAAAUAGGGACAUGGGUGGUGCUGUGGUCUAAACCACUGAGCCUCUUGGAUUUGUCAAUCGGAAGGUUGGUGGUUUGAAUCCCUGCAAUGGAGUGAGCUCCCGUUGCUCUGUCCCAGCUCCUGCCAACCUAGCAGUUUGAAAGCAUGCCAGUGCAAGUGGAUAAAUAGGUACUGCUGCUGCAGCAGGUAGGUAAACAGUGUUUCUGUGCACUCUGGCUUCCAUCACGGUGUUCCAUUGUGCCAGAAGUGGUUUAGUCAUGCUGGCCACAUGACCCAGAAAGCUGUCUCUGGACAAACACCAGCUCCCUCCACCUGAAAGCGAGAUGAGCUGCACAACCCCAUAGUCACCUUUGACUAGACUUAACCGUCCAGGGGUCCUUUACCUUUUACUUUACCUUUCUUAAAUGUGUUUGCUCCUCUUUGCAGGAACCACACACAAGCACUAUGUUCAACCAGUCAUCUGGAGUGGUGGAAUUCCUUCUGUAUGGAUUCUCUGAUACUCAGGAAUGGGAGACAUUUCAUUUCAUUACGUUCCUGGUCAUUUAUCUGAUGGCUGUCACUGAAAACCUUCUCAUCAUCACAGUCAUCACCUGCAGUCCUCAGCUUCACAAACCCAUGUACUUCUUUCUAGCCAAUCUGGCAUUCCAAGACCUUGGCUCCAUAUCUGUUUCAGUUCCCAAAUCCUUGUCAAAUUCCCUGAUGAACACCAAUACCAUUUCAUACAAUGGAUGCAUCUGCCAGGUUUUCUACUUUAUGUUCUUCACUGUAUCUCAUUUUUUCCUCCUUGGCAUCAUGGCAUAUGACCGCUACUUUGCUAUCUGCAAUCCUCUGCACUAUGAGACUGCGAUGAACAGAAAAGCAUGUGUCAAAAUGGCAAUCAGUGCAUGGAUUACUGGGCUUAUCUAUUCCACAGUAUAUACUGGCAGUACAUUCACAACUGAGUUCUGUUCUAAUGACAUCAGUCAGUUUUUCUGUGAAAUUCCACAGUUAUUCAAAAUUGCUUGCUCUGAUUCAUAUCUCAUCGCAUUUUGGGUUAUUUGUGUUGGUGCGUUUCUGGCUUUUACAUACUUUGCUCUGAUAGUUUAUUCUUAUGUUCAGAUCUUCAGGGCAGUUCUCAGAAUUCCUUCUGCCCAGGGAAAGGAAAAGGCCUUCUCAACUUGCUUGCCACACCUUAUUGUAAUAUCUGUAUAUUUUGCCAGUGGUUCAUUUGCCUAUCUAAAGCCAACUUCUGGGUCCCCAUCAGCCAUGGAUCUUGUGGCUUCUAUGUUCUACUGCAUGUUGCCUCCAGUUAUAAACCCAAUAAUCUAUAGUAUUCGGAAUAGGCAACUGAAAUCAGCAUUGUGGAAGUUGACUGCAAAAUUUUUCACGCCAAUUUUUCUUCCCCAAUUUGCAAUAUGUUUCUCUUCCUGUAAAAAUAUAGUAAAACAUUUUUAAACAUACAGAUAAAACCUGUGUUGAAAUCUUUAUUUUCAUUUCAGUUGCAAAUCUUUUGAGAACACACUUGCUAAUUAAUAGCAAUUGUUGUUGUUUAGUCGUUUAGUCAUGUCCGUCUCUCCGUGACCACAUGGACCAGAGCACGCCAGGUACUCCUGUCUUCCACUGCCUCCCGCAGUUUGGUCAAACUCAUGCUGGUAGCUUCGAGAACACUAUCCAACCAUCUCGUCCUCCGUCUUCCCCUUCUCCUUGUGCCCUCCAUCUUUCCCAACAUCAGGGUCUUUUCCAGGGAGUCUUUUCUCAUGAGGUGGCCAAAGUAUUGGAGCCUCAGCUUCAGGAUCUGUCCUUCCAGUGAGCACUCAGGACUGAUUUCCUUAAGAAUGGAUAGGUUUGGUCUUUUUGCAGUCCAUGGGACUCUCAAGAGUCUCCUCCAGCACCAUAAUUCAAAAGCAUCAAUUCUUCGGUGAUCAGCCUUCUUUAUGGUCCAGCUCUCACUUCCAUACAUCACUACUGGGAAAACCAUAGCUUUAACUAUACGGACCUUUGUUGGCAAGGUGAUGUCUCUGCUUUUUAAGAUGUUGUCUAAUAGAUUCAGAAAUUGAUCUAUAAUUUCUGUGCUCCAUUAGAGUAAUAAACUGUUAUAUAGGUUCAGCAAUAGCUCUUACUAUUUUCAUGCUCUGUUGCAGAGGGGAUUUUUUUUAGUUAAUUUACUUGUUUUGUACUUAUUUUCACACAUAUUUUUAUGUUGAUUCUGCUGAAUUGUGCCAGGUCUAUGGCAAGUUAGAACUAUGCUUUCAGCUUGAUUGUAUGUGUGAUUGUAUUGGCCUAAUACCGUAUUGGCCUGAAUAUAAGCUGCACUUUCCCCCCAAAUUCUGACCAUGAAAGGUUAAAGUGCGGUUCAAUUUGCAACCUUACAAAAAUUGCCUUUUAUGAUAUUGCUGCUGAAACAGACACAUGGUAAAAGGGAACAAACAAAAAAAAAGUUUUAUUGCCGAUUUGCAAGCUUGAGACUGUUGUGGAAUUAAUUCUAAUGUCAUUCAUCGCUUUCACUUGCGGGUCCUUUCUAGUACCAGUAGGGUUUUCUUCUACAUCUGCCAUUUACGGCUGUGAGUGCCUGCGGAAUUUUAAGGGAGGGGCUUCUAUUCGGGUAUUGUUUUUUUACUCCCCUCCAUUGAAUGUUAAAGGUGUGGCUUAUUUGUGGGUGCGCCUUAUAUUUGGGCCAAUAUGGUAAAUCUCUAUUCAGCAGAUUUCUGCAAGCAGAACACUUCCUUGAUUGACAGAAUGUGAUUGUCCUCAGACUCAUGUACGUUAGGGGAGAUGGCCCCAUGGAAAGUGGACUUUCUAUAUUCACAGAGUUGCAAACAUUCUGGGAAACAUGAGCUACAAACCACCCACCAAGUCCAGUUUUUGCUUUGAGUCAUAGCAAAGCAUAAAAAAGUGGGCAGGUGGAUUGGGAGAUCUGGUGAAGGGUAAGAGAACAGGGCUCCCCAGAGGCUCUGUGGUCUUAAUUACCCACGGCCAUGCCUCCCACAGGUCCUGAUUGGACAGUGGGGCCACCCCUAGGUGGGUUCCGGCCAGCACCAGUGAUGUGGCCCAGACGGCAACAAGAGAGGCGUCAAUCUCCCUUCCACCAGAACACUGCAGGGCCCCCGAUACUUGGACACAACAGCGCCCACCAGAAAAAAGGUGAGCGGAUUUCUCAGAUACAUUUGUACCUUGGAUCCCAAAUGCCUUGGAGUCGAAUAUUUUGGCUCCUGAACUCCGCAAACCCGGAAAUGAAUGUUCCCAUUUGUGAAUGUUCUGCGGAACCCGAACGUCUGGUGUGGCUUCCGCAACUUUCGAUUGGCUACAGGAACUUACUGCAGGCAAUUGGAAGCUGCGCUUUGGUUUCCAAAAGUUUUGGAAGUCAAACGGACUUCCAGAAUGGAUUCUGUUCGACUUCCAAGGUACGACUGUAUUUAGAACAAGCUUUUUAAGGCUUGCACCUUUUCAAAAUCUUUUAACACCCUGUAGCUAUCAAAAAGAAAGGAUAUUUAAUGAAUUUUAAAAAUAAUUUAGCCUCACCUUGAGGGAAUGUUCAGGGUGGCAAUAGAGGAUAUAUUAUUUAUUAAUAUCCUUCCUAACUUGCGCUAGCAUGUUCCUUUACUUAUCAGAGUGCAUUCCCCUUUACACAGCAGAAAACUUGUUGCAGGCUCAUUAGAACCUCUUACUAUUAUGCAAUUCAAUCUGCCUCAGAUUGAACUGUAUGUUCCUGGUAAGAUACCCUUUUAAAUCCCUCCUUAAAGAAUAAAGACACCACAGUCUUAUUCAUAAGCAAUAAAAAGAAAGUUUACUCACGAUCAGGCAGAGCACAGUGUGAUGCCUGAAGGCAGGCUUUAGGCUUAAAGUUACAAACGUAUAAAAACAGGUUUACCCCAUAAGGGAAGUGACCUGAGGGACUGCUUGGCUGGCAGCCAGCAGUUCAUUCCAACAAGUUCGCAGGACAAAAGGAAGAUGGAAAAGAGAGAGAGUGGCAGCAUGCCUUGUCCUUUUACCAGGUCUGGAAAGGUCACACCCACCCACUAGUUACAUGCAAGGAAGGAUGUUCCAGGGCAGGAGGAACAGGAAGUUUUGACUGGCUCAACCAAACAUUCCAUUGCAUGUCCACUCUAGGAAAACAAGGAAUGUUGUACUUGGCUGAUCUCAGUGGAUUAACAUCCCACACACCUUGGGUAUAAAAGCUAAUGUUUCUUGCCAUAGCAAAAAGGUGUUUUCUCUCUCUGAAAUACCUUCACAGUGAGGUAGUAAGACUUGUUGCUUUUCUCACAAAAACUGGGCACUCAAAUCUGAGGAGAACAGAUAAUUGAACAUCACAACCACAGCAUAAAUUAUAUAGAAUAAUUAAGAAAUCAUCAGUAAAAUAAUUACAAAUCACCAGUAUAACAACCACCUUCUAUAGAACACUAUUAAGAAAGCUACUAAAAGAAAUUAAGCUAAAUAGAACAACCAUAACAAAGGUCAUAUUAUAAGAUCCUCAAGGCACUAUAGCUGCAGGUAGCAACGAAGUCAGAAAAUGAACAGAUUGUGUUAGAUUUUAGCAGGAGUAUACUUAUGUUGUCCACAUGGAUCAGAGGCGUGCAGUGAAUCUUUUUAAGGGGAUACAUUAGGGCUGGAGGUGCCAGCUUUUAAGGGUGAUUUGGGGCAGGGGCAACAUCUGUGUGUGAGCAUCACCCCUCCUUCCCUAAGCCGGACAGAAGCUUCUCCAGCUUUGGGAAGGAAGUGCCUGGCUUUAGUACUUUAAUACUCUCAUUUACCAGGAAUAUUGAGGGGACAAGCCUAGUUCCCUGGUCCACUGACUGCCUGCAAUGGACACGGAUCAACAAUAUUCAAAGUUUAGUUGGGAAGUAUAAGACAAGGGGCUAAACAAAAGAUUUAUGGAUGCAAACAUUUUCCUAAGGGAUUUAUAUUUGAAGCAGGGCUGGAACUCUUAUUAGGCAAAGUGAGGGGGCCACUCCAGUUUUGUUGGUCAAAUACAGUGGUACCUCGGGUUACAUAUGCUUCAGGUUACAUAUGCUUCAGGUUACAGACUCCGCUAACCCAGAAAUAGUACCUCGGGUUAAGAACUUUGCUUCAGGAUGAGAACAGAAAUCGUGCUCUGGUGGUGUGGCAGCAGCGGGAGGCCCCAUUAGCUAAAGUGGUGCUUCAGGUUAAGAACAGUUUCACGUUAAGAACAGACCUCCGGAACGAAUUAAGUACUUAACCCAAGGUACCAUUGUAGUGACAUCAAAAUGCUAUUUAUUUCAUUUUAAAUCAUUGCCAGAGUGCAGAAGGGGAAUUUGUAAAGGGUUUUCUGGUGUGUGCUUUUGCUUCAGGUGCCCAAAUUUCUUAAUUUGGCUUUUUUUUGGUAAAGAAGUCUAUCCCACUGGAAUUCUGCACAUACUGUUUUAUUUUGAACAGUGUGGAUGGUACUGUCACACAGAGAUAGCUGCUGUAGUUCAAGCAAAGUGUAGUUGGUGAUCCACACCAAAUAUCCUCCCCAUUGCUGGGUUCAUAACUGGUGGCAACAUGCAACAAACAUAGACGCCACAAGAUCUGUCUAUAUGUUGUGUAUCUUAUUUGCUGGUUCUGUAUACAAAUUAUCCAAUGGCCUAUUCUAUUCAAAGAUUCUUGAAGCAGUAACUUCCGGUUUGCUGCGGAAGGAAUGGCAGUGUGUUUCAGAUUGUCCGCUUAAGGGACGACCAUUUCGGGCUGGUUUGAGCAGUGGGGAGAGUGCUAGGAUUCAGUACCCCCCCCAAACACUCCACGGAAGAGUGGGGCAUCGAGGGGACUGGCAGGGUGAGAGGAAACUCAUUGUGAUCCUCCCUUUGAACUCACCUCUGUCUCAGCAGCAAGUGGGGGAGAGGGAGGGAAAAGCAAUUUGAGUUCGCUCAAUUCAGCACCAGAGCACCCAUCAGCCAUAGUCACAAGCUGCCGUCGAAAGCAGCAGAUCUUCCAAUCAAGGUAAUGAAUAGCCAAAAACUGUAUAGAAGAAGUUAGGCACUAAAAUUUAAUUUAGCAAAAACGGAAUCUGUCUAUAUGUCGUGUAUCUUAUUUGCUGGUUCUGUAUACAAAUUAUCCAACGGCCUAUUCUACUGAGAGAUUCUUGAAGCAAACAUUUUUUAAAAAAACAUUCACAGACAUUUUCCAGCAGUCCUCUGCUUUAUACAAUAGUUGAAAUUAAAAGAAUCAGCAAUAGCUGUUAUGUUAUUACAAUUUUUAAGAAAAAUAAAAAAUAAAGAACUUGGAACAUGAUAGAUAGAUAUUAUAUUAAUUAUAUUAAUUAUUAUAUUACAUUAUUGGAAAUAUUUUUAAAGCAUCUUAGUGUUAUAAUGGAAAUAUUUAUAAAUGAAUGAAAAAGAAACCAAGUGAUGUAUGUACCUCCAUAUAUUGCUACUCAAUCUACAUAUAUCAGGUGAAAUCCCAUGUGACGCAGUGAUUCUUGCUUGAAACUUUUAUCAUUUGGUAUUCUAAUAGAACACUUUUACAUGUAAACAGUAAAAUACACAUGCAUUCCACACAUAUGCCUGAGAAUUUUCUUCUGAGUUUAUUAGACUCCUGGGAAUGGAGAAACAUAAUACAAAUAAAAGUAAUUACUGCAUCUCCUUGUUCUGUUAGUCAGUGAGGAAAACUGUAACUGAGAUCACCUCUUAAACAGUGAUGGAGAGCUAAAGAUGUGACAGAUCAUACUGGGUGAACAGAGAAAAGCAGAAAAUGAGCAGACAUAAAGCAGCAGCAACAACAACAACAACAAACACCACCACAUAAAAUUGUAUUAAAUUCUGCAGGAUCUGCCCAUGAAUAGUUUGGUGAGUCAGUUUUUAUGGAUCACUUCUUAAGUGGCUUAUUGAGUAUCAACUUGAUAAAAAACCAAUUUAUCACAAGUUAAUUAUACUGAGGGCAAUUCUGGACAAAACUUUAAGGUUCAGGUGUGCUGAGAAGUUAACAUGUUACCAAUAUCUGUUUUAACAUUUUCAAUAAUUUGCAUGAAGCACUGAAGAGAAUGUGUCAGCUGCAGAUUCUCUUUGCUGGUGCAUGCUGGAAACCCGCGACAUGGAAAAAGGCAUUGAAUGAUGGGGAUCACCGUGGUCUUUUGGAUUAUGAUGGGAAUUAAUGCCUGCUUUACACACACACACACACACACACACACACACACACACACUUCUGGCAGUGGAAAAGGACAGUACUACCAAACAAGCAGGUUUUCAGGUCAGAAUUUCAUGCUUCCACUCAGCAUAAGCACCCUCCCCCCAAAAAAACCCCAGCACCCCAGCCAGGACUGAUGCACCACUCUUAGAGGUCAAUUGACCAUAUCAAGAGCUCCACCCCUUAAGACACUUAGUGGAGUUGCAAAUUUUCUAGCUGCAUUAUUCUGGGAGGAAUGAUUUCAGAUGUCAUCCCCACUCGAAGCUGGACCAAAGUAGAACAAUGCUCCAGUGGCAGAAACAGAAUGAUUAGUUGCCACUUUUGUAGUGUUAGACUGGUUAACUUAGACCAUCUCUACUGAAUGGUUGUUGCAGGAAACGCUCACUGAAGCCUGAGACACUUUAGAACAAACCAUCUGAUUCAGUUAAAUGUCUUGAGAAUAAUGUUUGAAUGUUUUUGGCACUGUAUUCAGCAGGUAAAGCCCUGCAACAAGAUGGCUUGUGGAGGGUUUCUGCUCAGGGAAGCAGCAGCUGCCUUCCAUUCCCUCUCACCUCAGUUUCUCUGUUUCUUUCCAACAGUCAUCAGUAAUAUCCAAGGCAACACGAUGACCAAGUACAACAAUGCAAUAUCAAUAUAAACUCUUUAUAUAAUCUAUACGAAACAUUGAGCAAUAUGAAAUAUAUGAAAUAUGCACUAUCUGCAAAACCAAUUCAUGCCUAUAGUUUGUAAUAAUUUGAAUUAUUGUAAGUUACCAUGUAUUUGCAUGUCAUCGUUUCAAUAAUUCAUUUGCAGUUUAUGAAGCAUUUCUGUAUCCUUCUGCUGUGCUGAAGAAGAAUUCCAUGAAACAGUGGGUAUAUCCAGAAUCACUGUUCAUACAUCUGUUUCGGACCACUUCUACAGCACUGGACGUCAUAAAACAAAGCCUUGUUUUCAUCAGAUAAGAAUCUAACCUAUUCCUUCUUUCAGAGACUUGCAUAGUCUACAAAGACUUUCAGAGACUUAUAAGACUUAUGUUUAUUUGGUUCUAUGUUUUCAAGAGAAUCCAUUAAUAAUAAUAAUAAUAAUAAUAAUAAUAAUAAUAUAUUUUUUAUUUAUAUCCCGCCAUCCCCACCCGAAGCCGGGCUCAGGGCAGCUAACAACAAUAAAAUAAUACAACAUUCUAAAAUCAUUUCAUUAUAAAAUUAAUUCAAAUCAAAUUGAUGGCAACCAUUGGGCUAGAGUUCUGUGAAGAUUGCCAAAGGAGGGAGUCAGGCUGUGCCCUGGCCAAAGGCUUGGUGGAACAGCUCUGUCUUGCAGGCCCUGCGGAAAGAUGUCAAGUCUCUAAAGAGUAAAGAUUUUGUGACUUUCAGAGAUUUAUAAGAUUUCUGUUUAUUUGGUUUUGCAGAUAGUGCAUAUUUCAUAUAUUUCAUAUUGCUCAAUGUUUCGUAUAGAUUAUAUAAAGAGUUUAUAUUGAUAUUGCAUUGUUGUACUUGGUCAUCGUGUUGCCUUUGAUAUUACUGAUAAUUGUUUGCAACACAGGGGUUUAAUUAUUUGGUUACUUUUUCCAACAGUCAGUUAGCAUUCCAUGCUCAGUGAGCAUCCUGAAUAGUCCUCGAACUGUUUUCCACUUGAUUCCCCCUUCAUUUGCCAACCCCACUUCAGGUGCUGGUGUUUCACUAGUUUCAUUUAAUCCUUUCAUGUCUCCACUGAGGAGCAUUUAUGUCUCUCUUCUGUCCCUGUGGAAAUUGAACCAGAAACAUGCCUAGCCAGAUAAUGAAACCAGUUGUUGUUGUUUGUGUAUUGUUGCAUGCCACCCCAGUCUCCAAGCAGUGCCUGUUUCCAGGGGCUCCAGGCACUUCCCCAGGGUUUGUGUUUUUUUUUCUGGAUGAGGCUCAGCAGAGACUAUGGUGUCUUUAUGAUAUAUGGUUUAUUUAUACAUAUCAUAAAAUUAUAGAAUUGUGGAGAUGGAAGAGACCCUGAGGAUCAUCUAGUCCAAACCGCUGCAAUACAGGGAUCAAAAGUGCAACCGUGUCAUUAUCAGCACCAUGCUCUAACCAACUGAGCUGUCCAGGCUCCAUUAAUAUAUUCAACCUAAGCCUACAAUGGAGGGGUGCACAGCAUUAACACCUCAAGAGGACAAAGGUUCUCUGGAACCACAGCCUAUGUUUUAAACAGACAUCAAACAUUGCUCUGAUUCUCUGGUUUCCCAGCUUCCUGCUUUGCGUCUAGCUCAGUCUCUGCUCUCAACUCUGCCUUUGUCCUUCUAACUAGCCACAAGUUGAGGGAUGGGCCCCCAUCAACAGCGCUACUUUGAAGAUUGCUGGUAUUAAGAGAGGCCUUGACUUGAUGGAAGUUGCAGUUCUAGUUGAAGCACCCAGUGCUACAGUCUGUGUGCUGAUAUGAGAUUAGUAAAGCAAACAGUCUAAUUUUUCAGCGCCUAAAUGAAAUCGAGCAUCAGAACAACUUGGCCACAAUAAGGAAAUUUUGCCCAUGAUAUGACUAUUUUCCACCUUCCCAUUUCGACUUUCUGGCACCCUAUCUCCAUAACCUAGCAAUUCUAAAAUAUAGACUUGCUUUUAGCCUCACAAGAUUGAAUGUAUUGCCCUCGACUGUACUUGAUGGAAGAUUCCAACAGAUUCCACACAAAAAAUGUUUAUGUCCCUGUGGAGAUGGCAGUACCAAAUCAGUGGCGCAUGCCCUUCUGACUUGCACUCUUUAUAAAGACUUUAUGAAUGAGAUUAUGACGCCUCUUUUAUUAUCCAUUCCAGGUUGCCCAACCACUGCCACAGUGUCCUUUCUCUUGGCAGAUCAAGAUGACCAGAUGACAGCAAGGGUUGCAAGGUUUUUAGCUGGGGCAAUCAGAUUAAGAUACAUUAUUUGACUGCUGAUUCAGGACCCUAAAGUGUG